GACGAACGCUGGCGGCGUGCUUAACACAUGCAAGUCGAGCGGUAAGGCCCUUUCGGGGGUACACGAGCGGCGAACGGGUGAGUAACACGUGGGUGACCUGCCCUCAGCUCUGGGAUAAGCCUGGGAAACUGGGUCUAAUACUGGAUAUGACUCCACGGUGCAUGUCGUGGGGUGGAAAGCCUUGUGCGGCUGAGGAUGGGCCCGCGGCCUAUCAGCUUGUUGGNGGGGUGAUGGCCUACCAAGGCGACGACGGGUAGCCGGCCUGAGAGGGCGACCGGCCACACUGGGACUGAGACACGGCCCAGACUCCUACGGGAGGCAGCAGUGGGAAUCUUGCGCAAUGGGCGAAAGCCUGACGCAGCGACGCCGCGUGAGGGAUGACGG
rnacentral:rRNA from 1 species